UGUCUUUAUUCUUUUUUUUUUUGGCCACACCUACAGCAAAUGGAAGUUUCUGGGCCAGCGAUCAAAUCCAAGCCUCAGCUUCGACCUGUACCACAGCUUCACCAACACCAGAUCCUUAACCCACUGCACUAGGCUAGAGAUGAAACCCACCCUGCCACAGAGACAACACAGGAUCCUUAACCUACUGUGCCACACUGGGAACUCCAACUGUCCUUAUUCUUAGGAGGUAGGUGGAUUAGAAAAAAUUAUGAAUAAUAUGGAUACAUAUGAUGAAAGAGCAAGAGAUCAACCAAGAACAAAAUAUCAGUGCACCUGGGUGAGAAGCAUAUAGGGAUAUUUUUAUGGCAAUGAAGCUAUUCUGAAUAACACUAACGAUAGAUACAUGUCAUUACACAUUUGUCAAAAUGCACAGAAUGUACUGCAACAAACAAAGAAUAAAGAGUGAACCCUAAGGUAGACUAAGGACUUUGGUUAAUAAUAAUGUACCAAUCUUGGCUCAUAGACUAUAAUAAAGGUACCACACCACUGUAAGAUAUGAAUGACAGGGAAAACUCGGGUAGAGAUGGGGGUGGGGUGGGGAGAUGAGACCCAGAGAUGAGGGACUGUAUGAGAACUCUCUGUACUUUGUAUUCAUUUUUCUGUAAAAUAUAAAACUGUUCAAAAAAUAAAAUCUAUUAUUUUUUUUUUUCAAAGCAAGGCACUGUGUCACUCUGUUCUGGUUAGAUGCUUAUGGGUCAAGAUUUUUAAAUGGCACCAAAAGAUAUUUUAAUUUCCUCCAAUUUCACAUGCCAGAACUGCAUUAUGAAGCAAACAGCUGAAACAGAAAACAACCUAAUGAGAGCCUGCCUAUCAUUUUCUAGGUCUUCUUUUUUCAUUAACUUCCAAAAUGCCCAGUUGUUCAUUCAUUUACUUUCAUAAGGAAAAUGCACUCUAUUCACUGCACGUCGUCAUGAAGCAUUGUUUCUGUCUCCAAGGACGUAUUUGUGGAAAAUGGCCCUCUUCACAUCCCCUUAAAGCUGGAGCCAAGGAGCUUCCAGUGAUUCUCCACAGGGCUAGAGAUAGCAACAUAUGCAGCCUUAAAUGUUAAAUGCUGCAAAAGAAAGAAAUCUGGGGUAAAAAGACACCCUGUUCUUUACUGAAGAAAAAACACACACACACAGCUUGAAAAAUACCUGAGUACAGGAAUUCCUAGUGGCUCAGUGGGUUAAGGAUCUGACAGUGUCACUGCAGUGGCUCGGGUUGCUGCAUGGGUUCAAUUCCUGGCUUGGGUGAAUUUCCACAUGCUCCAGGUGUGGCCAAAAAAAACAAAAACAAAACAAAAGCCAAAAAAGGUAAAGGCUGCAUCAAAGCAGCUGAAAAAAGAAAAGAAAAGAGAAAUAGCUGAGUAUAAACUCUCCUUCAAACACAUCUGCAAGCAGUGAAGCAUUUCAGCUGUUAAGGAGGAGUGCUCAGUUCAGGAAGAUUCACAAUAAUGUGUCUGUGAAGGAACCUAUUGCCUUCCUGGUGUGGGUUAAAAUGGAGACAUGUUUUCUUUUCUGCACCUCAAGAUGGGUAAAAAGCCUAGCACUAAAUACAACAGUACUUCUGUUGUGUUAAAUGACAAGUACCACUUUCCCCUGGUUGUGCCUUUAAUAAGCAGGGUCUAACUUUUAGCUUUGAACAUAGUAGAACAACAUUUUGAAUGCACAGAAAUAUUCCAGACCUGCAGUUCUCCAAGUGCGGUCGCUGGACCAGCAGCAUUGGCAUUACCGGGGAACUUGCUGGAAAUGCAAUUCUAAUCCAGACCUAUUGAAUCAGAAAUUCCAGGGGCAGGACCCAGCCAUCUGCACUCACAAGCCCUCCAGAUGAUGAUGAUGUCCAGUGAAGUUGGAAAGCCAUGCUUCCAGAAGUCCUAAAUAUGCAAACAUGUCUUACCUUCCCCUCUCUAUGUUGACUGAAACCAAUCAUUUAGUUGAGCCUGGCUCAGAGAGCUCCUCAUAUUCGUAACACUAGUGUAGCUCCUUAAGCGUGGAAUUCCCUGGUGGAGCAACAAGAUAAGGAUCUGGUGUUGUCACUGCUAUAGCUCAGGUGCACUGCUGUGACUCAGGUUCAGUCCCUGGUCUGGGAACUUCUGCAUGCAUCGGUGUGGUUAAAAAAAAAAAAAGAAUCUCAUCUUUUGCUCCCUGCCUCUCCACCAUGCAAGAAUAGAAAAAAAGUGCUCCCCUAAGACAGGAGGAAGACCUACAUCCAGUGCCAACUCUGACUGACAUACAAAGAAGUCUGUUUUCUCAGUUUAAAAAAAAAAAAAUCAAAGUCAUGCUCUCUCCAAAGGGCUUGCCUUUCUUGAUAAUCACUAUACCUGCAUUUUAUACUGGAUAACAAUUUUCAGUUUACGAAGCACCUCUAGAUACAGUAUGUAAUUCAGCUGUGGCACAGAUUCUCCACCUCCCCUCACUCCAGCAUUUCAUGAAGGAGCUCAGAGAACUCUGAGUAAUCAGUGACCAGUCCAAGACUACGCAACAAGUAAGUGUCCAGAGCCUCUUCCGCUCAUGCCAAGCACAAUGCUCUACAAAGCCUUCAUCAAAGAAACAUUAGCUGUGGGAAUCUCGGAUGAAUUAUUGAAGCUCAUUUCCACAACCAUAAAAAGAAGUAAAAGUUGGAAUUCCCAUCAUGGCGCAGCAGAAACAAAUACGAUUAGGAACCAUGAGGUUUCAGGUUCGAUCCCUGGCCUUGCUCAGUGGGAUGAGGAUCCACUGUUGCUGUGAGCUGUGGUAUAGGUGGCGGACACGGCUCAGAUCUGUCAUUGCUGUGGCUGUGCCAUAGGCCAGCAGCUGUAGCUCUGAUUCGACCCCUAGCC
rnacentral:lncRNA from 1 species